ensembl:snRNA U6 U6 spliceosomal RNA
GUGGUCACUUAGGCAGCAUAUAUACUAAAAUUGGAAGAAUAGAGAAAAGAUUAGCAUGGCCCCUGCACAAGGAUGACACGCAAAUUCGUGAAGCAUUCCGUAUUUUU